AUGAAGUCUAGCACCACCUUCGCAGUAGAGAUCCAACAGGAUGCCGUGGACGCCGCCGACAAGCCGGAUGGCGGCGUGCCCCGGCCGUCUCGGGUCCGCCAUCUCGCUCUUCUCACCGCCACCUUCUGCGCACUGGUCUUCUACGCGCACUACGGCGUACCAGGCAGCAUGGCGUCCGCCCUGUUUAAGCCGCCAGUCACCGUUUCAUCCCUUCCCUCGCUGGCCACCAUCACCAUCGACCAAGACUCCGGACGGGCGGAGCAGCCGGCGAUGCUGAGUGAGGGACGUGCACCGCCCACUCCUCAGGCGACGGUGCUUGAGGCCAGUCGGAGCACGGCUGUGCCGGCAUCGACGCCGUCCGACCAUUGCGAUGGGCGGUACAUCUACAUGUACGACAUGCCGCCGCGCUUCAACGACGACCUCCUCCGAGACUGCGGCAAGGGCAGGCUCCACCCGUGGUUGGACAUGUGCCCGCACGUGGCCAACGACGGCAUGGGCCAGCCGCUGGCGGACGACGGGGGCGUCUUCCCCGGCCGCGGCUGGUACUCCACCGACCAGUUCAUGCUCGACCUCAUCUUCCACGCGCGGAUGAAGCACUACGAGUGCCUGACCAAGGAUCCCUCCCUCGCCGCCGCCGUCUACGUCCCCUUCUACGCCGGCCUCGAAUCCGGGAGGUACUUCUACAAUUACAGCAUCUCCACGCGAGACGCGCUCCAGCUCGACGCCAUCGACUGGCUGGUGCGUCGCCCCGAGUGGCGGGCCAUGGGGGGCCGUGACCACUUCUUGGUGGCUGGCCGGACCACGUGGGACUUCCGGCGGGAGGCCGACGUCGACGAGCUGUGGGGCACCAAGCUGCUCACGUACCCGGCCGUCGAGAACAUGACGGCCUUCGUCCUGGAGACAUCCCCGUUGACAGGGAGCAACUUCGCGGUACCCUACCCGACGUACUUUACUUCCACCCUGAGGCCGCCGCCGAUGUGCUCGCCUGGCAAGAGAGACUUCGGAAGGUGA
rnacentral:rRNA from 1 species